rnacentral:rRNA from 1 species
GCCUGCGGCCACACUACUUUGAAUAAGCCUGAUCUCGUCUGAUCUCAGAAGUGAAACAAUGUUGGGCUUGGUUAGUACUAGGAUGGGAGACCACCUGGGAAUAUCAAGUGCUGUAGGCAUU